UCACUUCCUCCUUAGGCGGAGGGAAGGAUACAGGGAAGCUUGCUUGGUAAAUGAGCGGUAAAGGCAAUGGUGGUCGGAAAUGGAGGUCUGAAGCUCACGAUUUCUCUAGAAGAAGGGGAGGGAAUUGAAAGGCUCCCAGUGAAAAAGGCUACUGAAAUGCCCGAGCUCCAUUUUCUGCCUUUCUUCUCCACUGGGGGUCGUUAAGGCGCCAUUUGUUUCUUCCUUCCAUAUGAGGAAACUGAGGCAUAGAGGAGUUAAAUAACUUGCUCAGUGUUUCACUGCUGAUACUGCAUUUUUUACAAAUUCAAGGUUUGUGGCAACCUGCAUUAAGCAAGUCUUCUGGCACCAUUUUCUAACAGCAUUUGCUAACUUUGUGUCUCUGUGUCUACACGUGGUGAAGGUGCUGUGAAGAUUGUUGAAAUGACAACAAAGGAUUUAGAAUAUUGUGUAACUUUGUUGAUACAGCAGCAGCAUUGUUUGAGAGAAUUGAUUCCAGUUUUGAAACAAGUUCUCCUUUGGAUAAAAUGCUGUCAAACAGCAUCACUUGCAGCAGAGAAAUCAUCUGUGAAAGGAGGAGUCAGUGUGGCAAAUUUCAUUGUUUUCUUCUUUUAAGAACUUGCCACAGCCACGCCAGCCUUCAGCAACCACCUCUGAUCAGUCAGCAGCCGUCAACAUCGAGGCAGGACCCUCCACCAGCAAAGAUUGUAAUUCAGUGAAGGCUCAGGUGAUGGUUAGCAUUUUUGAGCAAUAAAAUAUUUUUAAAUUAAGGUAUGUAUAUUUUUUAGAUUUAAUACCACUGCGUACUUAAUAGACUAUAGUAUAUUAUAAACACAACUGUUAUAUGCACUGUUAUAUGUCAAUUCAUUUGACUGGCUUUAUUGAAAUAUUUCCUUUAUUGUAAUGGUUUGGGAAUGAACCCAUAGCAUCUCUGAGGUAUGUCUGUAAAAUAUUUCAAACAUUCAAAAGUGUACAGCAAAAUAAUAUUUCAAAUAUUCAUGCACCCACUGCUUGGUUUAACAAAUGUUAAUAAUGUAGCAUAUUUGCUUUAGAACUCCCCUUGCAAAAAACAAAAACAGAUUUGAAAAGACUAAGAUUUUGAGGUUUAAUGUUACUUAAAAUUGUGCUUUAUAAGGGAAAUUACCAUUUCCCUAAAUACAGAUAGGAUAUUCAUUAAACUUAAUAAUGGAGGAAGAAUUUCCACAUACUGAACAACUCUGUAACUACUGUUGCCAUUAUCAUGCUAUCUCAGUGAACACUCCCCUCCUUCCACACCCAUGGGUUUGCUUAGUUCCUUAGCAGUAAAUGUAAUGAACACAGAUAUUAACAUAAAGCUAGGUAAUGUGACUUGUAUGGUCUACUCAGUUUUCAUGCUGCUUGGCCCACUUCCAUGUGGUGAAGGUCAAAUUUGACCAAGGUAGCAUGUCAGCAUUGCCCAGUAGAACUGUCUGCAGUGAUGUAAGCAUCCUAUGCAUGUCCUGUCCAAUAUGGCAGCCAUUAGCCAAAUGUGGCUAUUAGGCACCUGAAAUGUGGCUAAUUCUAUUCUAUUCUCAGUGCAACUGAGAAACUGAACUGUAUAUUUUAUUUAAAUUUAAAGAGCCACAUGUGGCCAGUGGCUACCAUAUUAGACAGUACAGAUUUAAGUCCUCAAAAUCCACAUUAAAAUUAUUGAGUCCCCAAAUUCCAGCGAGUCCUGGCUCAGGUAGAGGGUUAGGGGAUGGGGACUGACGACAAAAGGGAACUUUUGGGAUGAUGGAAAUUUUCAUUAUCUUGAUUAUAAUGAUGGUGACAUGGAUAUAUAUGUUUGCCAAAACUCAUCUUGUACUCUUAAAAUGGGUGUGUUUGAUGUAUGUAAAUUAUAUCUAAAGAAAGUUGAUUUUACAAAUUAAAAGAAAAAAAAGAGUUGAGUUUUAGAGACAGUAGUUUCACCUUGUAUAUAUCUAAAGCAUGCCUUCUGCCAUUCCUUUUUUUUUCUUAUAAUCACCAAAAUCAUGACUACAUUACCAUCCCUGUGUGAUCUGGCCCCAACUACUUUUCUGACAUUAUUUCCUGACUGUGCUUCAGUUUCCUUUAUUUAGAACCCAGGGUUACUUUUGGGGUGAAAGAAAAUAAAGUUCAAGAAUUUACUAAAAGAAA